GAGUUUGAUCCUGGCUCAGGACGAACGCUGGCGGCGUGCCUAACACAUGCAAGUCGAACGGAGUUUCCAGCAAUGGAUUCUUAGUGGCGAACGGGUGAGUAACGCGUAGACAACCUACCUUCUAGAUGGGGACAACACUGGGAAACUAGUGCUAAUACCGAAUGUUGUAUUUUGGUUGCAUAAUCGAAAUACUAAAGAUGGCCUCUAUUUAUAAGCUAUCACUAGAAGAUGGGUCUGCGUCUGAUUAGCUAGUUGGUGAGGUAAUGGCUCACCAAGGCGACGAUCAGUAGCCGGUCUGAGAGGAUGAACGGCCACACUGGGACUGUGACAC
rnacentral:rRNA from 1 species